rnacentral:rRNA from 1 species
CCUACGGGUGGCAGCAGUGAGGAAUAUUGGUCAAUGGACGAGAGUCUGAACCAGCCAAGUAGCGUGAAGGAUGACUGCCCUAUGGGUUGUAAACUUCUUUUAUAUGGGAAUAAAAUGUUCCACGUGUGGGAUUUUGUAUGUACCAUAUGAAUAAGGAUCGGCUAACUCCGUGCCAGCAGCCGCGGUAAUACGGAGGAUCCGAGCGUUAUCCGGAUUUAUUGGGUUUAAAGGGAGCGUAGGUGGAUUGUUAAGUCAGUUGUGAAAGUUUGCGGAUCAACCGUAAAAUUGCAGUUGAAACUGGCAGUCUUGAGGACAGUAGAGGUGGGCGGAAUUCGUGGUGUAGCGGUGAAAUGCUUAGAUAUCACGAAGAACUCCGAUUGUGAAGGCAGUUCACUGGACUGCAACUGACACUGAGGCUCGAAAGUGUGGGUAUCAAACAGGAUUAGAUACCCUAGUAGUC